UCCUUAGGUGUUCUGGGCAGCACGCGCGCUACAAUGGUCUUCGCAAACGGAUGCAUUCUCGAAGGAGAAUGCCAAUCUUGGAAUCUAUGCCUUGGUCGGGACAGUUGCUUGCAAUUUUUCGACUCGAACCAGGAAUUCCUUGUAAUCGUGAUUCAUCACAUCACGAUGAAUACGUCCCUGCCCUUUGUACACACCGCCCGUCGCUCCUACCGAUCGAAGAGUUAGGUGAAUUGUUUUGAUCGAUAAGAUUUGACUAUGGUCAACUCUCGUUGUGAAAUUCUGUGAAUCUGACUGUUUAGAGGAAGGAAAAGUCGUAACA
rnacentral:rRNA from 1 species